CAGGAUUCUGGUUUCCGCCCUCCUUCAAAGCGUGGAAAUUCAUCUGGAGUGGGAAGUAAACCCUUCCGGCCUCCUGCGCAUAUGGAAGAAUGUUCCACUCACCUCUCACAGCACCACGACCUCGCCCCCGAACACCAUGGUCCCUUCCUCUUGAGUUUUCAUCUGGAGAGUCAAAAGCAUCAUCUGGCCCAAAAUCUUCAGGUCCAGGAAAGCCAUCUCUCCCCCUGGGUCCCCGGCCCUCAUGUCUUGAGGGUCCUCCUCUUCUGAAGCUACAAGAAAGAACAUGGUACAAAUGUGGGUUUUAGACAGAAUUUAGAUUGAGAAACUUCAGCCAGCUUCAGUUUAAUCAUCAACUCAUUUCUGAACUGUUUUACUUAAUACUGUAGCACAUACAGUUACUAGAAUAGGAUUUGUAGGUGGAAAAGUGCUCGUUUUCUGCCUUUGAGCACUUUGUCUAUUCAUUUUUGUAGUUUCCCCUUAUUUCCUUCUGCUGAUUGUGUUUGUUUCUCAAACAAGAAAAAUACUUUCAAAUAUACUGUAUUCAUUUAAUAAGGGGAGGGGGGGAGAAAUCUGUGAGUGAUGACAAACAGAAGGUAAAGUAUAAGUGAAUUUCCCUUAAUGUGGUGGUCUUCUUUCCCCUUCCAUUUUUUUUCCCUUCCAUUGUAGUGAUAAAAACAAACUGGAAGAAUUCAAGCAAUGAGAGUCAUGACUAUAACAGAACACAUCAGCAUCUCAUUCCAUUGGUUUUUGCUAACCUAAAACAUUCUCUUUUCUGUUCCAUUCUUCUCAGUUUACAGUUUUAGCAGAUGAAUCUAGAGAGCCUUUGGCUCUGUAGGGAUGAGGGUGACUGUUGACCAGCAUGCACAGUGGCAUUCUACAACCUGAAGAGCAGUUUAUUCAGCUGCGAUAAUGAAGGAUUUUGCUUUGCAAAAGGUCUGUCUCCACCUCCCAGAGAACAACCACAACACAGAGAGGAGGCUGCUGUGCCUGUAGAGGUACAACAGUGGAUGGAGGGAGUGCUGUGUAUGGACAAUGAACCAUUUUACAUUAACCUGGAUGAUCUGGGAGAACAAACUGAGCAGUUUUAGGUACAAAUGGUUCAGAUGAUCACAUUGCAAUAUUGUUUAGCCUUGAAACAGCACAGUCUCCUUGAUGUUCUUUAGAGGGCCUCCCAUUUUAAUACUGAUAUGGUAUGAUUCUGCUUAGCGUGUACAUCACCAAGAUUUGCAACACAAAGUCUUAUGGCUAGCAGGAAUAGGGCCUUUCCUUUUUGUUUCCAGGCAACAUUAUGGACAUGGUUUAGUUUUGAAAUCUAUCACACCUAUGCCUGACAUAGCCACAGCUCCUAAUAUUGUGUUAUGUAUAUUCUAUUUCAUAUCAGUCAUGUGUAAACCCCUGCCUUGCAUAGGGCUCAGUUUCUGUUUAGACUGCUCUUGGAUCUUCUUCCUUGAGGCCUAGGACCUUAACGUACAGAACUACAGACUGUGCAGAUUAGCAGGCAGGAAGAGGCACGUCUCUACAGUAGAAGCAUCAUGUUAAUGUGCAUAGGUACAGUAAGAACAGGACAGGGAUGAAAAGGACGGGAAAUUAGAGAGAAACACACAUACACACACUUCCUUCAUGCUUCAUCAAACCAGUUACAGUCUAAGUUCCUAACCAAGUCAGCUAAAUGAGGAGUUGGGGUUCUUGAGUUCACCUCAGCAUCUGCAGUAAAUGGCACUUAAUUUGCCUUCAUUCAAAGGAGUUCAUUAAGUUUGCAAGCACAAUAAGCCUUUUAGAGCCCUGUGCUGAUUCCUUUUAAACCAGACUGUACAAACACUUGCACUCUGACAAACAGACUCCUCUUAGUUAAUAAGUUAGACUUACAGGUCACAAGGUCCUUAGAAUCUUCCUGAAACCUUUCUAAAACUCAGGAUCAUCAUAAAAUACCUUCCAGUCCCACAGCAUUUCCAAGGUAAGAUUUGAAAAUCUCUACUGAGCUUCUAAAAGCGUUGUCUGCUGCAUCUUAGAGUUCUGUACUGCAGGGCAUUCAGCUUGGAUUCUCUCUACUUUUACUUUUUAAAAAUGGCUUUGUUACCUUUUCUUAGUUAUUGUUCAUUUCUUUUCAUACUCUUCACACAAAAGGAAGGUACAGCUUUACAGAGCUAGGAAGAAAAUAGCUAAAAGAAGAGCUGUGUAGAUGCAAAGUAAAAGGAAUGUAAGAAAACGAUUAAAAAGGCAACUAAAACACACAAAGUUCACAUUAUGUGGAGACCACAAGAUAUUUGUACAUGUUCUUAUACAUACAGAGUUGGUGGGCAGUGAGAGGCUUAGACCUUGGAGGCCAAAUUUAACCCAGUUAAACUAGCAUGAAUGUGAAGCCAUUUCAAUGACAGUUAAUCUUGCUGAGUUAGCAUAAUUCCUCCAUAUUUACAUUUGUAACUAGACACAAAUUCAUCCCUUAAUUUAUUUGGAAACUGAGCAAUGAUGUGGACAUUGCUGUAAGUUGGGUAUCUCCGAGUUCUUUGCUUGGCAUUAAGAAAUAAAGUUAGAAAGAGAAAUAAAAUCUCUACAAGCAAACCCAUGAGAAAAUAGUCUCAACAGUCCAGCAGAUGCUGUAGCUCUGUCCCUUAUAUUUGAUAGCAGGAUCACUGUUCUACUCCUUACAAGUAUCUUACAUCUCAUUCUACAGUCCCUACAGUCAUGCUGUAGUUUGUGACUGGAGACAAAGUCUCAAAAUCCACUUCUAGUGUUCAAAAGUUUGUCACUUUAACCUCCAAGUUUCCUCUCAAUUUUCAUCAAAACGGUCUCAAAUCUUCAUCCUGUGUCACUGGAUCUUCUCUAAAAAUUUCCUGCCUUCUCUUUACUUACUGUUUAAAGACACGGAAGCUGCUGUGUACAAUGACCAUUUUUUUCUUCUAUUACUGAAUGAUUUUUAUGGACUCUAUACUCAGGUAUAUUAGAGUUUUCAUUUCCUUAUUGGUUUCCAGUUUAUAAAUCUGAAACAGAUAGACUCCUUAAUGAAGAGGAAACCAG